rnacentral:rRNA from 1 species
AACGAACGCUGGCGGCAUGCCUAACACAUGCAAGUCGAACGGGACCGUCCUUCCUGGUGGCGCACGGGUGCGUAACGCAGGGGAACGUGCCCUAAGGUUCCGAAUCACUCGCCGAACUGCGUGCUAAUAUCGGUUAAUGUGGUCGGACCAAAGAUUUAUCGCCGUUGGAUGGGGCCGGGUUGGUCUAGCUAGUUGGUAGUGUAAAAGCCUACCAAGGCGACGAGCGAUAGCUGGUCUGAGAGGAUGAUCAGCCACACUGGGACUGAGACACGGCCCAGACUCCUAGGGGAGGCAGCGGUGGGGAGUAUUGGCCUGUGCGCGCAAGGCUGAGCCAGCGAUGACGCGUUAGUGAUGGAGGCCUUAGGGUUGUACCGCUGUUUUGCCCGGGAUGAUAGUGACAGUAGCGAGAGAAUAAGCACCGGCUAACUCCGUG